GUAUUGCUGAAGAGUCCCAAAUUGGGACGAAACAGCAGUCCGGUAC
rfam:Trichobilharzia regenti genome assembly, scaffold: TRE_scaffold0003883